GGGGGUAAGGUGUUACGGAAGCACUGGCCGCUCUUACCGGUCAAGCCAGGGUUCGACUCCCUGUGCCCCUACCA
rnacentral:tRNA from 1 species